rnacentral:misc_RNA from 1 species
AUCGGAUGUCCGUAUAGUGAACCGAACUAUAAAUGUUAUUCGUCGCUCUUAAUAAUUUUACAGUCUUUAAUUAACUUAUAUCGAUUCUCGUGAGCAGCCACGCGUCCCGUCGAUUUGACGAAUGGCUACCAAUGUUUACGAUAGACAACAACGGAAUCAUUCGACGAACUCGUGAUCGAUGAUCGUGUGUGCGUUUUCUGUUCAUGCUUUAUCGCCAGCUUCGUGUUAACUCUGCAAAAGUAUCGCUGACAUUGUUUUUAAAAUAAAUAUCUAAGUCAGUAAGAGAACGUGACAGAGAAGCAUCCGAGGGCCUCAAGGCCGACCGUACGACCUUCCCCGAUCUUCGUAUUAUAUAGCGUGUCGUAUUGUUUCGCAAUUUUAAUUAAUAACAUGACUAAAGUGAUUGAACGUUGCACGUUACGUGCAUUUUAAACGUACACCGAACAAAGGAGGAAAGCACGUACAAAAAUAACCACAGUGUUUAGUAUGUGUCAAGAAAGACGCCAAAAAGAAAUAAUGCAAAGCUUAAGUAGGAAACUGUAAGUUAAAGAUACAAG